CCUACGGGUGGCUGCAGUGAGGAAUAUUGGUCAAUGGACGAGAGUCUGAACCAGCCAAGUAGCGUGAAGGAUGACUGCCCUAUGGGUUGUAAACUUCUUUUAUAUGGGAAUAAAAUGUUCCACGUGUGGGAUUUUGUAUGUACUAUAUGAAUAAGGAUCGGCUAACUCCGUGCCAGCAGCCGCGGUAAUACGGAGGGUCCGAGCGUUUUCCGGAUUUAUUGGGUGUAAAGGGAGCGUAGGUGGAUUGUUAAGUCAGUUGUGAAAGUUUGCGGCUCAACCGUAAAAUUGCAGUUGAAACUGGCAGUCUUGAGUACAGUAGAGGUAGGCGGAAUUCGUGGUGUAGCGGUGAAAUGCUUAGAUAUCACGAAGAACUCCGAUUGCGAAGGCAGUUCACUGGACUGCAACUGACACUGAGGCUCGAAAGUGUGGGUAUCAAACAGGAUUAGAUACCCGGGUAGUC
rnacentral:rRNA from 1 species